GAAUCCGCUGCGGGGAGUAGAAAAACAACUAGCUCAAAGCCAGCGACCGGGCUAGAGAAUUUCCAACCUCCAAUCCAAGCCUCGCCCUCUUCUCGCCUCGUCUCCCUCCCAGCAAGUAGUAGUAGCCUCCGAUUCCCUCCUCCCGCCGCCUCGUCAGAUCUGCGCCACCGCGCCGCCUCCCCGUCAAUCCGUCGUCCUUAUCCCGCCCGCCAGCCGAGGAGUGGCGGCCGCCGCUUGGUUUCUUCCGUCCGGGGCUGGCGCUAUCGGCGGCGGAGGCUGCCGGGCCUUUUCCGGACCAGCAAAUGGUUCCGGAGCUGGGGCUUGGAGGCUUCCGGUUCGGUGUGGUCUGCUGAUUGGGCCCAGCCGGGGUACGGUUGGCUCUGCCGGCUUGAAUUGGAGGUUCUGAGCUAGACUGAAUUUUGUUUCGUCGGAGGAGCUGAUUUGGUGAAGUUGUUUCAGGCGGCGACUGAUUCUUGGGGACUUCUUCAUCCGUCAGAAAACAGGACUUCUGCAGCUGCUUCGGUUGCCUUUUCCUCCAAAGGAGUGGAUAAGUAUCUGGAACCAAUCGAGGCAGCAAAGCCAUGGAUGUGCCUAUGCCUUCACAGUCCAACCGCGCUGGAUGCAAUGGAAGCGUCGGCAGCCCGUCGGAUGAUCCAUAUGGCGUUACAGCCAUGAUGAACUUUGAUGGGUACUCAGAGCUCUGCGGCAGCCCUUCAUUAGCUGACCAGCUGUUCUCGUUGCUGAACGAUUCGUCCACACACCAGAUGUUUGCUAUGUGGUCAUCCUUGGGAUCUUCGCCACGUGCUUCUGGUGUCAGUGAAGAUAUGCAGCUCGAUGCCUAUUCCAGUGUACCUGGGGAUCAAAAGGUUGAUUUGGUAUCUUCAGUGAAUCCAGCUGAAACUGGGACUGGGAGAAUGGCCAAGAGUUCAGGCGACCUUGGCUCAGAUGGUGAUCCUGAGCAAGGAAGUACUAGUUUGGUUCCGAGGCCUAUUGCCGGCAACUUACUCGCUGACAGGAUGCUCAUGGCUCUGUCUUUGUUCAGGAAGUCACUUGGCGGCGGCGUUCUUGCGCAGGUCUGGAUGCCUGUUGAGCAGGAGGGGCAUGUCGUGCUUAGUACAUGUGAACAGCCGUUUCUGCUUGACCAAGCUCUUGCUGGGUACAGAGAAGUAUCCAGGCAUUUUGUGUUCUCCGCUAAGGAGGAGACCGGCCUUCAACCAGGGCUUCCAGGGAGGGUCUUCAUCUCCGGUGUGCCAGAAUGGACCUCAAAUGUGCUCUACUACAGCAAGCCAGAGUAUCUGAGGAUGGAGUAUGCUCUUCAUCACGACGUUCGAGGAUCACUUGCUAUGCCGAUAUACGACCCCAGCAAGGGCUCUUGCUGUGCAGUGCUUGAGCUUAUCACAAAGAAGGAGAAACCUGACUUUGCUGCAGAAAUGGACAACCUUCGCCAUGCCUUGCAGGCUGUGAACUUGGAGACAGCAAAGGAUUGCAUUGAUCAGAAGGUUUAUUCAGCAAAUCAGAAAGCCGCUUUCACUGAGAUUUUGGAUGUUCUAAGAGCUAUUUGCCAUGCACACAUGCUUCCGUUGGCCCUCACAUGGGUCCCUUCAUCAAAUGGCAGUGAUGGUGGUUAUGUUGGACAUGAUAGUGUCCUUGAUUCUCAGUCAGGAAAAACGAUACUCCGCAUCCAUGAAUCAGCGUGUUAUGUUAAUGAUGCAAAGAUGCAAGGAUUUUUUCAUGCAUGCACUGAAACUCACCUUGAGAAAGGGCAAGGUAUUGCAGGCCGAGCACUCAAGUCCAAUCUGCCGUUCUUCUCUCCCAAUAUCAGAGAAUACGGAAUUAAAGAUUACCCACUCGCACACCAUGCUCGUAAGUUUGGCCUGCAUGCUGCUGUAGCAAUCCGGCUAAGGAGCACAUACACCGGUGAUGAUGACUACAUACUAGAAUUCUUUCUACCAAUCAACUGCACAGGCAGUGAAGAACAACAGAUGUUAUUGAAUAACCUCUCCAGUACUAUGCAAAGAAUAUGCAAAAGUUUACGAACAGUUUCUGAAGCAGAGGUUGAUAAAGUUGAUGCUUGUACUGCAGUAAUGUAUAAGGCAACCAGUGGAAGUUGCUUGCCUACUGGUCAGUCUGAGAGUUCUUCGCGUGGUGAUCAACCAGCCACAGAAGAGGCAUUCCAGGAUCUAUCUUUAAUUGAUAAGCAACGGGGCAUGUCCGAGCAGUCUAGUACAAUGCGACUUGCGGAGAAAAAGCGCAGUACAGCUGAGAAGAAUAUUGGCAUGGAUGUUCUUCGUAAGUACUUCUCUGGGAGCCUAAAGGAUGCUGCAAAGAGCCUUGGUGUUUGUCCAACAACCUUAAAACGGAUAUGCCGCACACAUGGAAUUUCACGAUGGCCAUCUCGCAAGAUAAACAAGGUCAACCGUUCAUUAAAGAAGAUCCAAACUGUCAUUAACUCGGUUCAUGGAGUGGACAGUUCUUUGCAGUAUGAUCCUGCUACUGGAUCUCUUGUUCCAGCAGUUUCUCUGCCAGAGAAGACUUCAUUCCCUUCGUGUGAUGCUGUGUCCAGUCCAUCCGUUGGGAAAACUGUGGAUGAAAAAUCUGGCCCAAAAUCUGAGCAAGGGUAUUCGUCACCUGAAGGAUGGGAAAGAGAGAGUUGCCAGUUGCAGCGCCCUGAUGCGCAGAAAGGGGAAGGCGAUGAAUUUCACAUGCAGACAAGUAACUAUAGUGGCAGUGGUGAUCACGCCUCUUAUGGCUGCAUCGAACCUUCUGCCCGUGUCCUCCCAAGCAUCAAGACUACCAGGGACCAGAUAGUGGGAAGGAACUCACCGCCCGCACAACAAGCAGAUAUUGAUAUGUUUGACGACCGUGAAGGCAGGGAGCAUACUCAUCCUUCCACCUCUGGUAUGACAGACUCUUCUAGUGGCAGUGCAUCAAGCCACCCCACAUUUAAGAAGAACCCAGCACGUCCACUUAAAGACAAGAGCAGCCCUGCACUUACGGUCAAGGCAACGUACAACGGAGACACCGUGCGGUUCAAGUUCUUGCCAUCGAUGGGCUGGUACAACCUGCUGGAAGAAAUAGCCAAGAGGUUCAAGCUGUCGAUGGGGGUGUUCCAGCUCAAGUACAAGGACGACGAGGACGAGUGGGUCAUCAUGGCAAACGACUCUGAUCUCCAGGAGUGCGUCGACGUCAUGGACUCGAUGGGCACGCGCAACGUGAAGCUCCAGGUCCGGGAUCUCCCGUGCCUCAUCAGCAGCUCGGGCAGCAGCAGCUGCUUGCAGCUGGAAGGACACAAUUCAUAACACGGUGAGGAAGUUUAAAGAAGGAUCUUUUGUUGCCCUCAACUGUGUCAUACUGCGGUAGGUGUAGUCUACGCUGUGUAGCAACAGGGUUUGGUAGUCUGUACUGUACGCGUGUAGCGUGUUAUGUAGCGGCAAUGGCGAACAGGAAGUGUAGUGAUCGUCGUGCAGGCAUGACGGUGCAGGCACGAUGUCGUGCCUGUGACGAAACGGUGUCAUGGAGGUCCCUGAGAGGAUGUCAUGACAAUAAUCUGUUGUCAUGAGGGUCUGCGGUGCCUGGCUGCCAAUGUAUCGAAAACUCGAACUCCUGGCUGUGUUAUGCAUGCCGGAGGAAACCAAUGAAUGUUUCUGGACUUCCCCUGGUUCCAAAUUCUCUGUUUGUUUAAACAGGUGAAUUUUCCAGUUCCACAUUGGCUGUCAGGGACACAUAAACUGCUAGCUUAAAUCGGAUGGUUUUCCUAUGUAAUUUUGGUGAAACUCCUGGAUUUUUAAGCAGGACUGGCUGACAAUCUUAUUGCCUGUUCAAGCUCACCAUGGGAUGGAUAAUCUUUCAGGGAGGGCUGUUGCUUCUCUCCGCUCAACCAUGGAAUUCCAUCUGUUUUUCCUAUGCUGAGAUCGAGAUCGCCGUGCUUACAUGUGGAUGCGAAGCGAUUCGCGGUCGAUACCGGGCAAUCUCUUCUGCAGACACCCAAAUCUCCCAACAGCGACGAGUCGGCAGCAUGCCAUUUUGGACUUGCACGAUCAGAAGAUGGAACUGCUGGUUCCCAGUUUCCUGCAUGCACAGCAGCUGCCGGGUAUACUGUGGAGUUCUGUUGAUAGGAAAGCUACCGUUUGUACUGGACUGGAUCUCAAAGUCCAACCGAUAGGAACGUCACGCCAUUGAGCGUCUGGGGAGUCGAGUUGGCGGACAUGGAUGAACACGACGUGCUGGCGCGUCUCCGCGACCCGAAUCGGUGGUUGCGUUGUCAUUUCCUAGCGAAAGAGAUGCAGCCAACCAGCCGCGGUGCGGGAGAAACAGCUCCGAGGGCCAGGAGGUUUCGUCUUCAACAUGUGCUUGUUGCCUUGUUCCCGUUUGCUAGUGGCUGUUGAAAUUAGGUCGCCAUUCGGGUGACAUAUUGUUGCAUUGCAUCAGCAAAAACAAAAUCUGGGUUUUCUUUCGUUUAAUAUGAAUUCUGAG
rnacentral:rRNA from 1 species